rnacentral:rRNA from 1 species
AUGUACAAGUGGCCACCAUAUCAUGUUUGGCUGGGUUACAGUCACAAGUAUUUCAAGGGUAAUCAAGUUGAUAAGCACAAGCUUAAAUUCAACCAAAAACUUUAUGGUGUGAUCUCAAAUCUGUGUGCACACUCACAUCCUAGCACACGAUUUUCUGAAACCACAUUACACAAUCUGAUCUACAGAACUACGCAACCACUGGAAUUUUUAAUUGAGAGACAACUAAUUUCUCAUUGUUUGAUUCAUCAUGUUUACAUGGCCUAUCCUAGAGAGACUAACAUUGUUCUUUGGUUUGGUUGA